AGAAGCAAAUCUUCUCUCAAUUCUGGGGGCGAACCAAGAAGCAGAUAUUAUCUCGAAUUUUCUCAAUGAUGAACUCCUUUCAGCAUUCUGUCAAUCAAUGAAGUGGCGAAAGUGGAGCUGGAAAAACUGAGACAGCUAAAAUUGCAAUGCAAUACUUGAUUGCUCUUGGUGGUGGCAGUUAUGGGAUAGAGUCUGAAAUCCUUUGGACAAAUUAUAUACUGGAAGCAUUUGGGAAUGCAAAAACCUCAAGGAAUGACAACUCUAGCCAAUUAGGAAGUUGAUUGAUAUUCAUUUUACUUCACUGGGGAAGAUAUGUGGUACUAAAAUCCAAACCUGUAAGCAUGUUUGAUAUUGAAUAAUUGUUGUCAUGUUAUGCUAUUUUUGUGAUGCAUACCAAUCGAGUUUACUGACUUAAUUUCUGUUAUAACCCCAUGCUUAAUUUACCGAUAAUAAUUGUGAACAGUUCUAUAGAAAAGGAAAAAAGUUGCCCCAUCUAAGUGCAUGGAACUUUUAUAUAUUCAUUUUUCACUUAUGAACUUAUCAGUCUCCUUUAAGCAGUCAAGAGUAAUGCAACUGGUAAAUGGCGAGAGGUCAUACCAUGUCUUUUACCAACUUUUUGCUGGUGCUUCUUCAGUUCUUAAAGGUAGGACUUUCAUUUUUAAUCAAUCCACUCAAGUUUCUCAAAGUUCAAUUUUUUAGUUUGGCCGAUUCACAUUCUUUCAUCAUGCAUACCUUAGAAAAUUAGAAAAUUAGUGAGUCUUGGUUCAAAUAUCAUAGCAUAACAUAUUUAUGGAGGGAUUUUAGACUUGCACAGAUUUCUAAUAUGAUACUGACCUUAGAAAAUUAGUGAGUCUUGGUUCAAAUAUCAUAGCAUAACAUAUGUCCAAAACACUAGCUGCAGAUCCAUGUUAAAGGCCAGUUAACAUGGUUAAUGUCCAUGCACCUUAUAUUAACCAUACAGUUUCAGUAAUUUUCUAUGAUGUCACCUUGACUACCUACCCAUUACCUAAUACUUUGCGUUAUUUUGGUAUCCAUUUCAGACAUAGACAUAUAUGUCUAUCUUGUUAAAUUGGUCUUCCAUUCACCAUUUGUUUGGGUGCCCAUAACUCAUUAUCAGAUAUAAUGAUUGUGACAAUGAUAUCCAUGUAUUUGGCAUCCAUCACUUUGUUAUUGGUCACUAUUCUGAAGGGCCAUGGCAUGAAAGUUUUAAGCAGGAAUAUAGUAUGUAUACAUUCCGAAAGGUAGAAAAAAGAUGCAGUUAAUAAGAUGCUGGCACCCUUAAGCAUGUUUUACCCCACUAACUAACUGAUACAGUCCUUUGAGCAGGCUGCGAGAAAAACUACAGAGAUGGCUACAAAUAAAGCUGCCACUGCUGCUAGAGUUGCUUUUGUCAAAAUUGUUUAGAUACAGAUGGAUGAGAAAUUUUUCAAUUCAAAUAGCUAAAAGAUUGGCUUUGUUUGAUUUUGUUAAUUUUACUAAUUUUCGUAUUUUAAUGAUGUCAACCCAGUGAGCAAAAGCUCAUUGGAGGGUGAGAGAGGGAGAAAGAGAUUAUGUUUAAGGUUUUGUCAAAGACACUGUAACUUGUAUAUACAUUAUUUACAUCAAUGGAAGAUGAAUUUUGAAAGAUUAAAA